rnacentral:lncRNA from 1 species
UUGUCAUUCUAGGUCUACUGCUGUGCGACCGCAGGAAAGAAAGUCUACCUUUGAGGACUUUAGUCUCCUCAGAUGUCAACUCUGAUGAGAGAGGCUGAGCUCAGGGCAGGGCUGAUCCAUACCUCUUCUCUUCUAUAACUUGGCACUUAGGACUGGGUUCUUAAAGCUCAGAAUUUAAGCCAUAUUUGAGGCUGACUCAGGGAUAAAAGUGUCUUGAGCAGUUACUAAUGUCUCUGAAAAGCAACACGAUUACUUUCCUUACACAAAACCAUCUCAGAUGAACUUCUGAGUUAAAUAUUUCUAUAAUUCUUUGACUUCAGAAGGUUUGUAUGUCCUGCUGAUGAAAACUAAGAAGAUUCAGUUGAAUGCUUUCAUUUUCUAAAAAGUCAGUAUGUAUUAAAAUUUCUUGUGUGAUUUGUAAAUGCACAUGAAAUUGAACAACUGUUGACUGAAGAGCUCUGUGGUGACAAUAGGGCUCAAUCUUAGGGAAAUGUGAAAAUCCACCAAAAAGAGCAAACCUAUCCAAAGCAAGUGCCCUUGCUUACUGACCACAUAUUAAUAAUAAUAAUAAUAAUUAAGUUUAUUUAUCAUGAUAAAUUUAAUUAAUACUUUAAAUCUAUGUUUAAAUUUUUAAAGUAUAGUUGGUUUACAGUGUUCUGCCAAUUUCUGCUGAACAAUAAAUUGACCCAGUCAUAUAUAUAUAUUCUUUUUCUCAUACUUUCUUCUGUCGUGUUCUGUCAUAUAUAUAUAUAUAUAUAUAUACAUGUUCUUUUUCUCAUACUUUCUUCUGUCGUGUUCUGUCACAAGAAAUUGGAUAUAGUUCCCUGUGCUAUACAGCAGGAUCUCGUUGCUUAUUCAUUGUAAAUGUAAUAGUUUGCAUGUACUAACCCUAAACUCCCAGUCCCUGCCAGUGUCUCCCCCUCCUUUGCCCUCCCCCUUGGCAGCGCAAGUCUAUUCUCCACAUCUGUGAGUCUUUUUCUGUUCUGUAGAUGGGUUCAUUUGUAUCACAUUUCAGAUUCCACGUGAAAGUGAUAUAAUAUAGUAUCUGUCUUUCUCUUUCUGACUUAGUAUGAGAAUCUCUAGCUGCAUCCAUGUUGCCGCAAGUUGCGCUGUUUUGCUCUUUUUUUUCUUGUUGAGUAGGAUUCCAUUGUGUAUGUUUGCCACAUCUCCUUAAUCCAUUCACAUGUCAAUGGAGGAUGUUUCCAUGUCUUGGCUAUUGUGGAUAGUGCUGCUAUGAACACAUGGGUACAUCUUUUUGAAAUAUAGUUUUGUCUGGAUAUAUGCCCAAGAGCAGGAUUGAUAGAUCAUAUGGUAGUUCUAUCUUUAGUUUUCUGAGGAACCUCCAUACUGUUUUCCAUAGUGGUUGUACCAAUUUACAUUCCCACCAACAGUGUAGGAGGGUUCCCUUUUCUUCACACCCUCUCCAGCAUGUUAUUUGCAGAUUUAUUAAUGAUGAAGUUUUGCAUGGGGAUAACUUAGCCCAUCAUAUUUCCAAAGUUAAGGGUCCUUUCUUUCACAGUAGUCUAUGAGCCUGUGAUUGUAUUUCUAUCAUGCCAGAUGUCAGAGCCAUGGGUGAUGCUAAUAAUGAGAUUUAAUGAGUAUUUCUCUGAGCCAGGAUCCAUCCAAAGGGCUUUAUACAACUCAGUUAAUUUCUCAACAAAUCUAAUAAAUCAGUAUUUUUAUCAAAGUAUUAUUAUCAUCUUCUCAAUGAAGAAACUGAAGCACAGAAAAUUUAUACAACUUACCCAAGGUCACAUAGCUAGUAGACUGAAGAGCUCUUAACCUGCUAGUGACCAUAAUUAACAUUUUGAGGGUCUCCUCUGCACCAAGCAUUUUGCCAGAAGCAUUCCAGAGAUGAUCCUGUUCCAGGUCUGUCUUAGAGAUGAGAUAACUGAGGUUCAGUUUGCCUAAGUCACAAGUCCACUGUCAACCCAGCUGGUGCAUCUCCUAGCUGAGAACCUCUCAUCUGAAAGAAUUUGAUGAGUUCUCCAUAUUAAAGGCCUUUCUUCUGUGAGUGGUUAUACAACUGCAGAUAUUCCUUUUGCUAAAUCAAAGUGGAGAAAAUGCAUGUGUUGAAAUCUGGGUCCCAUUUACUGCUCGAGAUUUAUAGAAUGAUAGAUUGCAGAAUGUCUAGAAAUGCGUCUUGAAUGAGCAUGUGCUAUAGUCUUGCAGACGUUUACACCCUGAACAGCUGGCUGUUUAAUCAUCAUGUGGGUCAAAGCUCAAAGGCUACCUCCUCAGGAGACAUUCUGUGAUCCCCCUACAUUAGGUUUUUAAAGUACCCCCCCACCCCCGCAAACACACUCUUCCAGGUAACCACACACACAACUGCAGUUACGUUUCAUUCACAUUGUUUUGUUGUCUCCUGAGCAUGUAACACUAUUGAUAUUGUCCUAUUUUUUUUUUUUUUAACUAGAACAUAGUUUCAUGAGAGCAGAGAGCUAGCAGUUUUGUUGACCACUCCAUCUCUAGAACUUAGGACAGUACAUGUGACACCACGCGCAACCUGAGAUUUUUAUUGAAUGAAUGAAUUUUUCUUAUUCUCCUU